GGGGGACCGCAGGGAUCUGGCUCUGCCCUGACCUUGAGCUCUUCUGUGGCAAGGAUCUGGCCUCAUUUUCCUGGUAACCAUAAUGCAUAACCCACUUUCUUCCGGUAGCAGGCAUUUACGAAUGUUUGUUGAAACGAACUUGAAUUCCAGGUAAUAGAUGAAGAUGAUAGUCUCUCCUGUCGUCCUUCAGGACAUAGAAAAGGAGUAUUAGGGCCACAGAGGAAAGGAGGAGAGGAGAGGAGAAACAGCAAAAGGAAAGCUUAAGGAAUUUGAUUGAAGCAGUGUGGACAAUGUGAGUCUGCAAAAAAAGAGCCCUCGUUGGUUUCUGAAGGAUUUCCAGCUGAGUAAGUUUGCCACCUGAAGCCUUCACUUGAAUGUGGAUCUUCCUUAGCUCCCAGAAACUGGAUCUGUGGCUGGCCCCGGCAUGUUCCCAGACCCACACAAGCUCCUGAGACAAGCUAGUAUUUGACAGGAAGAUUCUCGCUGGUGACCAUUUGCAUAAUGCCCAGUGUUGAGUUAUCUUGGCUUGCCCCCUGUCUCCUUCAAGAGCCUGCCAGCCUCUCCAUGUCGCUUUGAUUCUUGAGUUUCCCUUCCUUUCUCCUUCCUUGCUUAAAUGUAAUUCCCUUCAUUCUAUUAUUCAGAACAAUUUUGUUCCUCACCUCUUCCUUGGCUUUGAGCCUGUAUUUACAUAUUUAAAGACUCAUAAAUAUACUCUGCUAAACAAAGUGUCAUCUACUAAAUUACCCUUUAGCAAUAUGGAAGAAUUGGCAAAAGCUUUGAAAUUUCCUUUCUGCUUUUUCCCACCAAUAUCCAUAACAGGACAGGAAUAGUAUCAACCUUUAGUUCCUUACAGAUAUAUAUUAUGUCUCAUUCAUUAGAAGGUUUAGUGCAGAGUUUUUGUUUAAAUGGCAUUUCCCCUCACUACACUAGGAGAAUGUGUUCUGUUAGCAGGAGCAAGGAGAGCGUUAGAAGAAGGAAAGGGUAAGCACCAUCAAAUGUCGCGGAGAGAAAGGGAAUGGAGACUAUACUAGACCAUUCUAUGGGCCUUCUGAGAAUUUCUUUAAAAAGCUAUUUGAGUACAGUUUUGAUUGUUGAGAAAUGGGUAGGGGUGAGUAUAAACUAUAAUUUUAAGGAAGUGGAGGAUGAAAGAAAACAAAAGGGCGGAAUAUUCAAGUAAACUUUAUUAUUUUAAGAUAGAACAGAUGGGAAUAUGUAGACUCCAGUGGAGAAACCAGUUAUAAGAGGGAGGAAAAACUAUCCUGUGAGAAAUCAAACGUACUUUUGCACAAUGGGCAGAUGUAGGGUCAGAGUUUAUACCACACGUGUGGUUUGAUAAACACUGGCCAGGUCAUGAAAACAAAACCCCGUUCAAAAACUAAGGAAUACCUGGAGAUCCUGCAGAAGAAAAUAGAAAACCAUUCUUUAGGGUCACAUCUGUAACUCAGACGCCGUAGACUGCAACUUCUCCAAUUCACAAACAACAAAAUUAAGCAAGAUGAAUAAAAAAUGUAGACUAAUUGUCAGAAUUUAAAAAAUCAAAUCACAUGAUGGAACAAAGAAUAACCACAAGAAAGACUUUGUAGACACAACAAAAGAAAGAAUUGGUUCUCUACAAAGUAGAUAUGACAGAAAAAUCUCAAUAGUAUUAAUAAAAUAGAUCUGUUUAAAAUGAGUAACAAAAAAGGUAAUAAUAGAAGCAAUAGAAACCAUACAAAUAAGAAAAGAUUCCCGAAUCUGAAAUGUAGAGCCAUUUAAAUUCAAAAUUCAUUGAAGAUAUUAAAUAGCUUAGACACAGCUGGAAAAAAAGAAUUAGAAACCAGGAGAUAGAUUUGAAAAAUAUAAGCAGAAUGCAAAAUGGAAUGAUAAGGAUAUGGAAAAUCUGAAAGUGAGGUUGAAGACAUGGAAGUGAUUUCUGCUUCCAGCCAAGAUGGAAUAAUAGAAAGCAGAUUUCUUCUCCCACCUGCAACAAAAAAAAGAUAAAAUAUUGGAAACAUGAAACAUAUGAAACAAAGAUUUCAACACACUUCGCAUCAGGCACUGAGGAACAGUGACUGCUGGAACUGAGAAAACAAAUGAGGUGAACUCUUCCUUUGACCCAACUGACUGCCUUGAGAGAGUCUCCAGGUCAUGGCACAGGGAAGGGAACCUAGGGAUAGCCCAGUGGAAUUUAUGAGUUGAGGAUACAAAGGUGGCUAGAAUAUACAGGACAGAGUACCAAGAAAAGAAGCAUAGAGAAAAAAUUUUGGAGAUGUGUAAAGGGUACCCUCAAGUAUUUAGCUGAAUGCAAUCAAUUCACACAUGUGAAAGGAAAACCCAAGGCCUAGAAAAGAACCACUUGACAAGAACAGAGGUAACAGUAACCUGGCCAGGAAUAAUGCCUAUUCUAAUCAGUUUAACUAGCUAACCUCAUGACUCAUGGUAUGUUGAGUAGAGUGCCUAAAGGGUCUUGCAAAACUAAUGGGAAAAAAUUAGCCCGAAUGGUGGGCUGUUCUGAUCCUGCCUGACAAAUCUUAAAAGCAAGACCCAAAAGAAUCAAACUAUUUUCCAGUAAAUUGUUUCCCAGGAAAAAAGUUCAAGAAUAUUUGUAGGAAUAUAAAGAUAACCUGCAUCCAAUAAGAUAAAAUUCACAAUAUCUGGAAUCCAAUAAAAAAAUUAUCAGACACACAAAGAAACAGGAAGAUCCAAAAUUUAAUGAGGAGAGAAAUUGAUUAAUUGAAACCAACCCAGAACUGAAACAGAUGUUAGAAUUAGCAGACACGGACAUUAAAAUAACUGUGAUUCAUAUGUUCAAAAAGUUAAGUGGAGAUGUGAAAGAUACAUAAAAGAACCAAAACAACUUCUAGAGAGGAAAAUAAAAGUGAAAUGAAAAAUACAUGAAUGGGUUUAAUGGCAACUAGACAUUGCAGAAAAAAGAUUAGUAAACUUGAAGACACAGUAAUAAAAACUAUUCAAAUUUAAAUGCAGAUAAAAAGAGAAUUUAAAAAAUGAACAGAACUUGAGUGAAUAUUGAAAGUGGAAAAAGCGUAUAAUUGGAGUCCUGGUAGAAGAGGAGGAAAAUGUAUUUGCUGAAAAAAGCAUUUGCUGAAAUUUUUCAAAAAUGAUGAAAAUGGUAAACUCAGAGAUCUGAGAAGCUCAACAAACCCCAAGCUAAAGAAAAAUGAAGAAAACUACACCAAGGAACAUCACAAUUAAAUUGCCCAAAAGCAGUGAAAGAGAAAAGUCUUUUAAGCAGCCAGAGAAAAAUUUGACAGAUAGUAUACAAGGAACAAAGAAAGAUGACAGCUGAUUAUUGUUAGAAACAACACAAACAAAUAAACAUUAAAGCUACACCUGUAAAGUAAAGAAGAAAAAAAGCUGUUAACUGAGAACUCUGUUAAUAAAGACAGAACAACCAGAAAGAAAAUAAGUAAGGAAAUAGAGAAUUUGAAUAACACAAUAAACCAACUAGAUCUAACAGACAUAAAUAGAAGAUUCUGUGCAACAAUAACAGCAUGCACAUUCUUCUCAGGUGCACAUGGGAUAUUUUCCAGGAUAGGCCAUCUGUUAGGCCACAAAUUAAGUCUCAAUAGACUUAAAAGAUAGAUACCAUGCAAACUAUCUUCUCUAACUACAAAGGGAUAAAGAUAGAAAUCAAAAACAGAAGUAAA